GCGGGCGUAGCUCAAUGGUAGAGCGCUAGGUUUCCACCCUAGAUACGCGAGUUCGAUUCUCGCCGCCCGCU
rnacentral:tRNA from 1 species